UGCCCCCUGGCCCAGUUGGUUAAGGCGCACGACUGUUAUACAUUUGGAUGUAAAUCGUGAGAUCGAGAGUUCGAGCCUCUCGGGGGCAG